rnacentral:lncRNA from 1 species
ACAGUCUGAAACCGAUGAAUAGCUGAGUUUGCGUUAUGUCCCAAGUUAAGUCAGAGUCUUAUCAGUUGUAAGACUCUUUGUAUACUUAAAGAUAAAUACUUUAUGCAUUCUAUCCUUAUUUACCAGCUACAAGAUAUUUUGCUUCAGAUUGCUCUAUGAACUGAAGUAAUAAACUUGUAAUAUAAACUUGUAAAAACGACCCUCAGCUACUACAGGGUGGAAACCUCAUUACGCUCAGUUGUACCUGAGCUACUCGAGAAGGGACGAAAGCGAAGGGGGAAAGGCGAGCAGGGGGAGCGGGGUGCCCCGCGCGGCAGGGCCGGGGCAGGAGAAGCCUGCACGGCCGCGGGGCCGAAGCGGUUCCCCCCGGGCUGUGCCCGCCGCCAGCCCCCGCCCGGCACGGCGGCACCCACCGGCCCGGCCUCCGCCGCUCUGCCUCGGCUCCCGGCGCGGCCCUGCAGCCUCCUCGCUGCCGCAGCUUCCGGUGCCCCGGGACGCGGCGCCGGCGCUCGGCGGGGAAAGUCCGGGCGGGAACAGGCGCUGCCGAUCUCGUUCCGCCGUGCCCGGGCCGCGUGCAGGCGUGCGUGACACCCGCCCGGGAUCCCGGGAUCUGGAGUGCUUAAAAAAGGGGGACGACAGAGUCAAAAAGCAGAUCCUCCACCAAGGGAGGGGAGCAGGCUUGUGUCUGUGCCCGCUGUCACUGCAGUAACUCGGCUGGAGAAAGGCGUUCUCAUGCAGGGAGGCUCUUCACCAGCUCUCGGGCGGAGGCGAGGAAAGGCCCUGGGUUUGGCGUGACUCUUCGCACGAGUGUCAAAGGCGGGCUGCUGCUGCCGGAGCUGYGCCGGGUCUGCAUUCCUCGCCCUGCAGCGAGCGUCCCCGGACCCCCGGGGCUUGCGGCUGCUGGUCUGGCUGGMAGAGCUGCUACAAGGGCCUCUGCUUUCUCCAGGGUUGCUGUGUUGGCCCGCUGAAGGGGGGCUAGCGCCCGCUCCCCCUUUUUAGUUUUCGGGAUCUUCACCGCGGGAGAGCGUCGCUCACGCGGAAAGGCGUGGCGGGCUCGGGGCGGACUACAAAUCCCAGCCUGCACUGCGGCGCGGCGCUCCGGCGAUCGGCGCCGCGGGAGGGGCCGCACGGCCUUCUGGGGCUCGUAGUCUCCGGCGGCGCCCGACAGGCGGCGACGACGGCGCGUGCUACCGUUCCGAUUGGUGGGGCGGGGGCCCGGCGCGCGCUCCCGCCGGGUCGAGUGCGCGCGCCCCUCUCCCUAGCCGGGGGGGAGGGGCUCCGCGUGGCCGCUGCCCGAGCCAGGUGGGUGUGUCCCUUCCGCCUCCUUGUCCCCGCCCCCCGCGCGCGCAGGCCCCGCCCCCUCCGGCCCCCGGCCGGGCAGGGCCGGGCAGCCAUUUUGGGCAGAGCUUUGUUAUGGUUCUGGGGCCGCAGGAGGCAGCGAGAGGGGCCUGGCCGUGACUACAGUUUCUGUCUCACCUCUUUGAUGGAAGAGGACUAUGACCCAGAAGUAAACUCUCCAUUGUAGAACAAGAAGCUCUUGUUGAAUAAUUUGUCUCCCUUUAAAAGCAGCACCCAAUCUACAAAAAGUAGAGUAGAAGAGAUCAUUUUUGGACCUGGCAUUUUUCUGUUCAUGUGACCUAUGUUUCAGCAUGUAAAUGGUGAACAACAGAAAGAAACAUUUGUGCCUGCUUUUGAGCUUUGCAUCAAGUAGUGCUUAGUUCUGUGGAGCAUUAACUAAGUUACGUGAAGUCCAGAGUAUAUCCAAACAUUCAUUUUUUUAAAUAUUAUACCUUUUUUAGCAACUGUAUGUGAUAAAAAUGAAGUUUAUAUUUUAAGAGCACUUGGGCAGAUGCUUCUUGUUUAGAUCUCAGCAUUUCAGGCAAACGUUUUUAUAUAACAUAGUGUUUUUUCCAGAGUGUUCAGAUCCAUCUGCUACAGACCAUGAAUUAUCCAGCAGACUUGGGUGCAUCUGUUCAGUAUUAACCAUGGGGUUGCUCUGAAUGUUGUCAUGCAGACUUGACAAACCUUUUUGUAAUGUAAAGGCUGACUUCUGUAGUAGCACGACCAGAGGAAAUUUAAUGAGGUGAACGUGGUCGUGGUUCUUUUUUAAAAAUAUAAAUUACCUUCUUAGGUAUUUUUUUGUAGUGUGAGUGCAAAGAGARGUUAAAAUGAGCAGCUGAGGGGGUGAAGGGCACAGUUGGCACGAAGUGCGGCCUCUCGUGCUCUGCUUCGAGACGCACUAUUGCCUCAAGGCUGGCCUUACGGCAUCCUGGAGAAAGAAGGAACCAGGAGGUCUGAGUGAAGCACAGAAAAAAGUGAGGACAUUGGACUGCGGAGGCAAAACUCUGCGUAAGUGAUCGUAUGUACUUUUUUCCUUUGCCUUACAGUUUUGGCUUGUUUGUGGCCCAAACCAGAGUAACAGGAGAAUAAGAAUUUUUAGGGGUUUGAGCAGUGGAAGUUGCUAUGACAUGUUGGAAAGAACAGUUCAGUUUCAGAUUCCUCGGUGAGGUACGUCAGCUGGUCUUCUGUUGAACCUCCAUUAAGAUACAGAUCCUUCAGCCAGCUUGUGUUUUGUUCCUCAUCAUUUGGUUCCUUACCUCGAAAGCRAUUUCAGCGUUGCAUGUUCUCUGGUAUGUGGAACUUGGUGAAUCUGGAUAGAAUUUUGAAUUGUGGGUUCAGGUCUCUGAUCUUCACUCAAUGUCUCUAACAUUAUCGUCAGUUUAGUCAUAUUUAACUUACCACCUCUGGAGUAAAAUAUGCAGUGAAUCACCCCUUUGUAGACUGUGAGACAACAAGCAAUGAAGGAACGGAUCCCAAAUCCUGGCAUGUCUUGGUUUUCGCACAUCUGUGCCUUGAAUGGUUUGUGUAUGCUAUUCUGUUUUCUUCCCAUCUCUAGAGCUCAUCCUAUCAUGAAUUUCAUAGAUAUGUUUUUAGAAUGGAAUUGUAAGCAAGAAGUAGCUGGGAAUGUUUAAGUUCUUACCUGUCUUGAUCAGAGAAAUCAAGUCAGCAAUAAAAGCUGUGUUUAAGUACA